ACUUUUCAAGUUUUUAUAUGACAGCAAAAUAAAAUUGAGAAUGGAAAUGGGAAAUACAAGCAUGUCAAAAAUUUGCUUUCGAGUAAUGCUUAAUCAUGUCAUAGUUGUUUUCAAGAACUUAAGACACAUUUGGUUUCCAGAAAAUAACUUGAGUAUAAGUGAAUGGGUCUCUAUGAAAUUUUACUAGAAGGUUCAAUACACAAAAGGAAGAUUAGAAUUGAUUUUGGGGUUAUGGUACAACAUUAUUGGGGGU
rnacentral:lncRNA from 1 species